rnacentral:rRNA from 1 species
ACUCAAAUGAAUUGACGGGGACUCGCACAAGCGGUGGAACGUGUGGCUUAAUUCGAUGAUCCGCGAAAAACCUUACCAAGGCUAGAAACCCAGCUGCAUCCUUUCAGAAACGUUAGGAGCCUUCGAGGGUGCUGGGCAGGUGAUGCAUGGUUGUCGUCAGUUCGUGGCUUGAGCUGUUCCCUUCAGUGGGGUAACGAACGCAACCCUCGUUGUCUGUUAUAUUGUCAGGCGAGACUGCCCCCUCACGGGGGAGGAAGGUGGGGAUGACGCCAAAUCAGCAUGUCCCUUGAUGCCUUGGGCUGCACACACGUUACAAUGGAUGGUACAAAAGGACGCAAUACCGCAAGGUGGAGCAAAUCCCAAAAACCAUCCCCAGUACGGAUUGAGGUCUGCAACGACCUCAUGAAGCCGGAAUCGCUAGUAAUCCUGAAUCAGCACGUCAGGGUGAAUACGUUCUCGAGUCUUGUACACACCGCCCGU